GAUAAUGCAAUGAUGCAUUUUACAAAAGAGUGCUAAUAAUGCAAUUGACAAAAGAGCGCUGAUAAUGCAAUGAUGCAUUUUACAAAAGAGUGCUAAUAAUGCAAUGAUGCAUUUUACAAAAAGAGUGCUAAUAAUGCAAUUUACAAAAGAGUGCUGAUAAUGGAUAUCCUGGUUGUAUAAAGUCUGCCUGAAUACCACAGUCCUGGAGACAGAGAAGAGGCCAAUACCCUCGGUAAUAGAAAGCUUCCCUGGGUGUCUGAGCCCAUUGUACCUGUACACCCAGUGCAUAUCAAGGGUGAGUGAUUGCAUAGUGAUUACAUAUACUUAGCAGCAAGCGCUCCACUCAUUUACUGAUGUUAGAGUCGUUAUCAGGUCACACAGUAUAAGAUAUUUUUUGUACAGUUCUGGUGUGUUGUAAGGAACAAACCAAUCCAAGUAUUGUAGCAGCUUAUUCUAUGAAUCUUUCUAUUAUUCAUUAUUUGUUUGUAAGAGCCUCUUUUAUCACAGAUAGGUUCUAUAGCAUGGUCUCCAUACUGUAAUGAAUAACCCUUUGAAUAUUCAAAUUCACUCAAAACAGCCAAGUUGUGACUAAUUACUCUGCUCACAUUUUGCCAUCAGAUUUUAAUUUGCUACAAAUCAAAAUUUAAUGAUUAAAA